GGACGGUCCAAGUGCAGUGGUGUUUACAACUAAUUGAUCUAAACCAGUUACCAAUUCCUUCGUUCUUUCUCCACUCCCCCUGCUUCACUUGCCCAGCCUUGG
rnacentral:Y_RNA from 1 species